UACGUAGGGUGCAAGCGUUUGUCCGGAAUUAUUGGGCGUAAAGAGCUCGUAGGCGGUUUGUCGCGUCUGCUGUGAAAACUCGGGGCUUAACCCCGGGCCUGCAGUGGGUACGGGCAGACUAGAGUGCGGUAGGGGAGACUGGAAUUCCUGGUGUAGCGGUGAAAUGCGCAGAUAUCAGGAGGAACACCGGUGGCGAAGGCGGGUCUCUGGGCCGUAACUGACGCUGAGGAGCGAAAGCGUGGGGAGCAAACAGG
rnacentral:rRNA from 1 species